CGGAUAGUAUUCAGAAAAGAAACUAUACCGAUAUAAUUAUUUUUUCACUAUAAACUAGUGAGCGCAGCUCAUAUCUUUUAGAAUGAGACUCAUUG
rfam:Eubacterium sp. CAG:161 genomic scaffold, scf107